CUGCUGCUGAAGAGUCCCAAACUAGGACGAAACAGCUGUCCAGUAC
rnacentral:hammerhead_ribozyme from 1 species